rnacentral:misc_RNA from 1 species
GAUGAAGAACGCAGCGAAAUGCGAUAAGUAAUGUGAAUUGCAGAAUUCAGUGAAUCAUCGAAUCUUUGAACGCACCUUGCGCCCUUUGGACAUUCCGAAGGGCAUGCCUGUUUGAGUAUCAUGAACACCUCAACUCUCACGGCUUGUCCGUGAUGAGCUUGGACUUUGGGGGUCUUGCCGGCCUGUGGUCGGCUCCUCUCAAAUGGAUCAGCUUGCCAGUGUUUGGUGGCAUCACAGGUGUGAUAACUAUCUGCGCUUGUGGUUUUCCAUCAGAUAACCUUCAGUGAUAUGGAGGUUCGCUGGAGCUCACAAAUGUCUCUCAUUAGUGAGGACAGCUCUUUGAACGUUUGAUCUCAAAUCAGGUAGGACUACCCGCUGAACUUAAGCAUAUCAAUAAGCGGAGGA